rnacentral:rRNA from 1 species
UCUAGUAUAGCAUUAUACCGCGAAACUGCGAAUGGCUCAUUAUAUAAGUUAUCGUUUAUUUGAUAGUACCUUACUACUUGGAUAACCGUGGUAAUUCUAGAGCUAAUACAUGCUAAAAAUCCCGACUUCGGAAGGGAUGUAUUUAUUAGAUUAAAAACCAAUGCCCUUCGGGGCUCACUGGUGAUUCAUGAUAACUCCUCGAAUCGCAUGGCCUUGUGCCGGCGAUGGUUCAUUCAAAUUUCUUCCCUAUCAACUUUCGAUGUUUGGGUAUUGGCCAAACAUGGUUGCAACGGGUAACGGAGGGUUAGGGCUCGACCCCGGAGAAGGAGCCUGAGAAACGGCUACUACAUCCAAGGAAGGCAGCAGGCGCGCAAAUUACCCAAUCCCGACACGGGGAGGUAGUGACAAUAAAUACUGAUACAGGGCUCUUUUGGGUCUUGUAAUUGGAAUGAGUACAAUUUAAAUCCCUUAACGAGGAACAAUUGGAGGGCAAGUCUGGUGCCAGCAGCCGCGGUAAUUCCAGCUCCAAUAGCGUAUAUUAAAGUUGUUGUGGUUAAAAAGCUCGUAGUUGAACCUUGGGCCUGGCUGGCCGGUCCGCCUCACCGCGUGUACUGGUCCGGCCGGGCCUUUCCCUCUGUGGAACCCCAUGCCCUUCACUGGGUGUGGCGGGGAAACAGGACUUUUACUGUGAAAAAAUUAGAGUGCUCC